GCAUGCGAUGCUUUGAAAAAUCUGGUGCAUUUCAUGUUAGAUGCCUGGUGAUGGAACUGUCACAGCUUCCCAUUUUUAGAAGAUGGGAGAUUCUUUGUGAAGGAACUGCGCAUGGGGUCGCUUCUGGGGCAAAUCUAGAAUACACUUCUGAGACCUUCAAUCUUACAGUUUAACCAUAUCUGAGACCUUCAAUCUUACAGUUUAACCAUA
rnacentral:misc_RNA from 1 species